rnacentral:pre_miRNA from 1 species
AGCUUCUUGAAUCUGUGCAGAGAUUUCGUCAGACUCCAACCCAUUAGGGCUCAUAGACUUCCAAGAUAAGUGAAGUU